rnacentral:rRNA from 1 species
ACGCUGGCGGCAGGCCUAACACAUGCAAGUCGAGCGGUAGAGAGAAGCUUGCUUCUCUUGAGAGCGGCGGACGGGUGAGUAAUGCCUAGGAAUCUGCCUGGUAGUGGGGGAUAACGUUCGGAAACGGGCGCUAAUACCGCAUACGUCCUACGGGAGAAAGCAGGGGACCUUCGGGCCUUGCGCUAUCAGAUGAGCCUAGGUCGGAUUAGCUAGUUGGUGAGGUAAUGGCUCACCAAGGCGACGAUCCGUAACUGGUCUGAGAGGAUGAUCAGUCACACUGGAACUGAGACACGGUCCAGACUCCUACGGGAGGCAGCAGUGGGGAAUAUUGGACAAUGGGCGAAAGCCUGAUCCAGCCAUGCCGCGUGUGAAGAAGGUCUUCGGAUUGUAAAGCACUUUAAGUUGGGAGGAAGGGUUGUAGAUUAAUACUCUGCAAUUUUGACGUUACCGACAGAAUAAGCACCGGCUAACUCUGUGCCAGCAGCCGCGGUAAUACAGAGGGUGCAAGCGUUAAUCGGAAUUACUGGGCGUAAAGCGCGCGUAGGUGGUUUGUUAAGUUGGAUGUGAAAUCCCCGGGCUCAACCUGGGAACUGCAUUCAAAACUGACUGACUAGAGUAUGGUAGAGGGUGGUGGAAUUUCCUGUGUAGCGGUGAAAUGCGUAGAUAUAGGAAGGAACACCAGUGGCGAAGGCGACCACCUGGACUAAUACUGACACUGAGGUGCGAAAGCGUGGGGAGC